CUAGUUCUGAUGAUAACCACUUGAAAUUAUUGUCAGAUUCUACAAAUUUAAGGGCACAAUUUCCCUAAAGAUCUGCUGCCUCAUAUUAGAUGGCCACCCACAUGUUUGGGAAGGUGAGUAAUCUGUUUAUAGUUCCAGUUGACUAGGAAGGCACUUAAUAGUCUCCCACAGGCACUUAAAGUAGAAUGACUAGCAAGAAACUCCAGGAAGCCCUACACAAAAGAUUACAGUUUCAUCAUAAAGACUAUAUAUUGGAAUAGCGGCCAGACGAAAACCUGAAUGAAAGAGAAGAAUACAAAGAAAAAAACCCACAAUACCAGAUUUGGGAUACUUUCCUAUGCUUUGUUGGUCAGAGAGGUCUCAGAAGCAUCCAAAGCAAUAUGGAUUAUCAUCACUGCUUUUGAUUGGUUGCCCACAAGAACAUGAAGGGCAUUUGUGCGAGCCAAUGAAGUCACCUGAGACCUCUGCUUACUGUGUGAGCCUGAGGUUCUUAUCAGAAGAUCCAGCCACUAGGAAGAUUCUGCAAAUGAAGCAUGGGAGCAUCUGGAAGAGGUGUUAACUAGAGCAAAGAACCAGAAUCCUGAGACUAAAUGGA
rnacentral:lncRNA from 1 species